rnacentral:rRNA from 1 species
UACAGAGGUCUCAAGCGUUGUUCGGAUUCAUUGGGCGUAAAGGGCGCGUAGGCGGCGCGGUAAGUCGGGUGUGAAAUCUCGGAGCUUAACUCCGAAACUGCAUUCGAUACUGCCGUGCUUGAGGACUGGAGAGGAGACUGGAAUUUACGGUGUAGCGGUGGAAUGCGCAGAUAUCAGGAGGAACACCGGUGGCGAAGGCGCCACUCUGGGCCGGUACUGACGCUGAGGAGCGAAAGCGUGGGGAGCGAACAGG